rnacentral:rRNA from 1 species
GACGAACGCUGGCGGCGUGCCUAAUACAUGCAAGUUGAGCGAUGAAGAUUGGUGCUUGCACCAAUUUGAAGAGCAGCGAACGGGUGAGUAACGCGUGGGGAAUCUGCCUUUGAGCGGGGGACAACAUUUGGAAACGAAUGCUAAUACCGCAUAACAACUUUAAACAUAAGUUUUAAGUUUGAAAGGUGCAAUUGCAUCACUCAAAGAUGAUCCCGCGUUGUAUUAGCUAGUUGGUGAGGUAAAGGCUCACCAAGGCGAUGAUACAUAGCCGACCUGAGAGGGUGAUCGGCCACAUUGGGACUGAGACACGGCCCAAACUCCUACGGGAGGCAGCAGUAGGGAAUCUUCGGCAAUGGACGAAAGUCUGACCGAGCAACGCCGCGUGAGUGAAGAAGGGUUUCGGAUCGUAAAACUCGGUUGGUAGAGAAGAACGUUGGUGAGAGUGGAAAGCUCAUCAAGUGACGGUAACUACCCAGAAAGGGACGGCUAACUACGUG